GGGUUGUGAGGUUAAGCGACUAAGCGUACACGGUGGAUGCCCUGGCAGUCAGAGGCGAUGAAGGACGUGCUAAUCUGCGAUAAGCGCCGGUAAGGUGAUAUGAACCGUUAUAACCGGCGAUUUCCGAAUGGGGAAACCCAGUGUGACUCGUCACACUAUCAUUAACUGAAUCCAUAGGUUAAUGAGGCGAACCGGGGGAACUGAAACAUCUAAGUACCCCGAGGAAAAGAAAUCAACCGAGAUUCCCCCAGUAGCGGCGAGCGAACGGGGAGGAGCCCAGAGCCUGAAUCAGCAUGUGUGUUAGUGGAAGCGUCUGGAAAGGCGCGCGAUACAGGGUGACAGCCCCGUACACAAAAGCGCACAUGCUGUGAGCUCGAUGAGUAGGGCGGGACACGUGGUAUCCUGUCUGAAUAUGGGGGGACCAUCCUCCAAGGCUAAAUACUCCUGACUGACCGAUAGUGAACCAGUACCGUGAGGGAAAGGCGAAAAGAACCCCGGCGAGGGGAGUGAAAAAGAACCUGAAACCGUGUACGUACAAGCAGUGGGAGCACCCUUUGGGGUGUGACUGCGUACCUUUUGUAUAAUGGGUCAGCGACUUAUAUUCUGUAGCAAGGUUAACCGUAUAGGGGAGCCGGAGGGAAACCGAGUCUUAACCGGGCGUUAAGUUGCAGGGUAUAGACCCGAAACCCGGUGAUCUAGCCAUGGGCAGGUUGAAGGUUGGGUAACACUAACUGGAGGACCGAACCGACUAAUGUUGAAAAAUUAGCGGAUGACCUGUGGCUGGGGGUGAAAGGCCAAUCAAACCGGGAGAUAGCUGGUUCUCCCCGAAAGCUAUUUAGGUAGCGCCUCGUGAAUUCAUCUCCGGGGGUAGAGCACUGUUUCGGCUAGGGGGCCAUCCCGGCUUACCAACCCGAUGCAAACUGCGAAUACCGGAGAAUGUUAUCACGGGAGACACACGGCGGGUGCUAACGUCCGUCGUGAAGAGGGAAACAACCCAGACCGCCAGCUAAGGUCCCAAAGUCAUGGUUAAGUGGGAAACGAUGUGGGAAGGCCCAGACAGCCAGGAUGUUGGCUUAGAAGCAGCCAUCAUUUAAAGAAAGCGUAAUAGCUCACUGGUCGAGUCGGCCUGCGCGGAAGAUGUAACGGGGCUAAACCAUGCACCGAAGCUGCGGCAGCGAACGUAUCACUUAAAGCGAUUCAGCGGAUGACGAUUGACGGAGCGAAGCGACGUCAAAGCGUAUACAAAGUCGAGUCGGUUUAAGGAUACGUUCGUUGGGUAGGGGAGCGUUCUGUAAGCCUGCGAAGGUGGCCUGUGAGGGUUGCUGGAGGUAUCAGAAGUGCGAAUGCUGACAUAAGUAACGAUAAAGCGGGUGAAAAGCCCGCUCGCCGGAAGACCAAGGGUUCCUGUCCAACGUUAAUCGGGGCAGGGUGAGUCGACCCCUAAGGCGAGGCCGAAAGGCGUAGUCGAUGGGAAACGGGUUAAUAUUCCCGUACUUGAUGUUACUGCGAAGGGGGGACGGAGAAGGCUAUGUUGGCCGGGCGACGGUUGUCCCGGUUUAAGCGUGUAGGUGUGUGUUCCAGGUAAAUCCGGUUCACUUUAACACUGAGGCGUGAUGACGAGGCACUACGGUGCUGAAGCAACAAAUGCCCUGCUUCCAGGAAAAGCCUCUAAGCAUCAGGUAACAUCAAAUCGUACCCCAAACCGACACAGGUGGUCAGGUAGAGAAUACCAAGGCGCUUGAGAGAACUCGGGUGAAGGAACUAGGCAAAAUGGUGCCGUAACUUCGGGAGAAGGCACGCUGACACGUAGGUGAAGUGAUUUACUCAUGGAGCUGAAGUCAGUCGAAGAUACCAGCUGGCUGCAACUGUUUAUUAAAAACACAGCACUGUGCAAACACGAAAGUGGACGUAUACGGUGUGACGCCUGCCCGGUGCCGGAAGGUUAAUUGAUGGGGUCAGCGCAAGCGAAGCUCCUGAUCGAAGCCCCGGUAAACGGCGGCCGUAACUAUAACGGUCCUAAGGUAGCGAAAUUCCUUGUCGGGUAAGUUCCGACCUGCACGAAUGGCGUAAUGAUGGCCAGGCUGUCUCCACCCGAGACUCAGUGAAAUUGAACUCGCUGUGAAGAUGCAGUGUACCCGCGGCAAGACGGAAAGACCCCGUGAACCUUUACUAUAGCUUGACACUGAACAUUGAGCCUUGAUGUGUAGGAUAGGUGGGAGGCUUUGAAGUGUGGACGCCAGUCUGCAUGGAGCCGGCCUUGAAAUACCACCCUUUAAUGUUUGAUGUUCUAACGUGGACCCGUAAUCCGGGUUGCGGACAGUGUCUGGUGGGUAGUUUGACUGGGGCGGUCUCCUCCUAAAGAGUAACGGAGGAGCACGAAGGUUGGCUAAUCCUGGUCGGACAUCAGGAGGUUAGUGCAAUGGCAUAAGCCAGCUUGACUGCGAGCGUGACGGCGCGAGCAGGUGCGAAAGCAGGUCAUAGUGAUCCGGUGGUUCUGAAUGGAAGGGCCAUCGCUCAACGGAUAAAAGGUACUCCGGGGAUAACAGGCUGAUACCGCCCAAGAGUUCAUAUCGACGGCGGUGUUUGGCACCUCGAUGUCGGCUCAUCACAUCCUGGGGCUGAAGUAGGUCCCAAGGGUAUGGCUGUUCGCCAUUUAAAGUGGUACGCGAGCUGGGUUUAGAACGUCGUGAGACAGUUCGGUCCCUAUCUGCCGUGGGCGCUGGAGAACUGAGGGGGGCUGCUCCUAGUACGAGAGGACCGGAGUGGACGCAUCACUGGUGUUCGGGUUGUCAUGCCAAUGGCACUGCCCGGUAGCUAAAUGCGGAAGAGAUAAGUGCUGAAAGCAUCUAAGCACGAAACUUGCCCCGAGAUGAGUUCUCCCUGAGACUUAGAGUCUCCUGAAGGAACGUUGAAGACGACGACGUUGAUAGGCCGGGUGUGUAAGCGCAGCGAUGCGUUGAGCUAACCGGUACUAAUGAACCGUGAGGCUUAACCUUACAACGCCGAAG
rnacentral:rRNA from 1 species